UUAUUUGCUCAUAUCUCCAAUGCUCUUUUUUCCGCUCCGAGCAAGAUGGAACGUGAGAAAUCUAUUUUGACAGCAGAGCAAAAUUCUUCCCCGGCUUCUCGGUGAUUUCAAAACGAAUUGAGCAAGCAACGGCAUGGGGAGCGAGAGAGCACGGGAGCCCAUGAGACACAGCAACUUUACACAAGUUUUGUGUGAGCCAAGGGCUCCCGUGCUUUCGAAAGACAUUGACGGCAUAGAGUAACCGGGGAUGGGAUAGUGUGUGAACUUUAGGUGAACACAAA
ensembl:ncRNA B0350.74 ncRNA